rnacentral:rRNA from 1 species
GAUGAACGCUGGCGGCGUGCCUAAUACAUGCAAGUCGAGCGAACAGAUGAGGAGCUUGCUCCUCUGACGUUAGCGGCGGACGGGUGAGUAACACGUGGAUAACCUACCUAUAAGACUGGGAUAACUUCGGGAAACCGGAGCUAAUACCGGAUAAUAUAUUGAACCGCAUGGUUCAAUAGUGAAAGACGGUUUUGCUGUCACUUAUAGAUGGAUCCGCGCCGCAUUAGCUAGUUGGUAAGGUAACGGCUUACCAAGGCAACGAUGCGUAGCCGACCUGAGAGGGUGAUCGGCCACACGGGACCUGAGACACGGUCCAGACUCCUACGGGAGGCAGCAGUAGGGAAUCUUCCGCAAUGGGCGAAAGCCUGACGGAGCAACGCGGCGGGAGUGAUGAAGGUCUUCGGAUCGUAAAACUCUGUUAUUAGGGAAGAACAAAUGUGUAAGUAACUAUGCACGUCUUGACGGUACCUAAGCAGAAAGCAACGGCUAACUACGU